AUGCAAGUCGAGGGGCAUCGGGAAGAAAGCUUGCUUUCUUUGCCGGCGACCGGCGCACGGGUGAGUAACACGUAUCCAACCUGCCCUUUACUCGGGGAUAGCCUUUCGAAAGAAAGAUUAAUACCCGAUAGCAUAAUGAUUCCGCAUGGUUUCAUUAUUAAAGGAUUCCGGUAAAGGAUGGGGAUGCGUUCCAUUAGGUUGUUGGUGAGGUAACGGCUCACCAAGCCUUCGAUGGAUAGGGGUUCUGAGAGGAAGGUCCCCCACAUUGGAACUGAGACACGGUCCAAACUCCUACGGGAGGCAGCAGUGAGGAAUAUUGGUCAAUGGGCGCUAGCCUGAACCAGCCAAGUAGCGUGAAGGAUGAAGGCUCUAUGGGUCGUAAACUUCUUUUAUAUAAGAAUAAAGUGCAGUAUGUAUACUGUUUUGUAUGUAUUAUAUGAAUAAGGAUCGGCUAACUCCGUGCCAGCAGCCGCGGUAAUACGGAGGAUCCGAGCGUUAUCCGGAUUUAUUGGGUUUAAAGGGAGCGUAGGUGGACUGGUAAGUCAGUUGUGAAAGUUUGCGGCUCAACCGUAAAAUUGCAGUUGAUACUGUCAGUCUUGAGUACAGUAGAGGUGGGCGGAAUUCGUGGUGUAGCGGUGAAAUGCUUAGAUAUCACGAAGAACUCCGAUUGCGAAGGCAGCUCACUGGACUGCAAAUGACACUGAUGCUCGAAAGUGUGGGU
rnacentral:rRNA from 1 species